CGGAGAAGGCUAUGUUGGCCGGGCGACGGUUGUCCCGGUUUAAGCGUGUAGGCUGGUUUUCCAGGCAAAUCCGGAAAAUCAAGGCUGAGGCGUGAUGACGAGGCACUACGGUGCUGAAGCAACAAAUGCCCUGCUUCCAGGAAAAGCCUCUAAGCAUCAGGUAACAUCAAAUCGUACCCCAAACCGACACAGGUGGUCAGGUAGAGAAUACCAAGGCGCUUGAGAGAACUCGGGUGAAGGAACUAGGCAAAAUGGUGCCGUAACUUCGGGAGAAGG
rnacentral:rRNA from 1 species